UACAGACGGCGCAAGCGUUAUCCGGAAUGAUUGGGCGUAAAGCGUCUGUAGGUGGUUCGCGAAGUCUACUGUCAAAUCCCAGGGCUCAACCUUGGACAGGCAGUGGAGAACUCGCGGACUAGAGUACGGUAGGGGUAGAGGGAAUUCCCGGUGAAGCAGUGAAGUGCACAGAGAUCGGGAAGAACACCAGUGGCGAAGGCAGCUCGCUGGGACGGAACUGACGCUAAGGCGCGAAAGCGUGGGGAGCGAACAGG
rnacentral:rRNA from 1 species